ACUCAAUAGAUACCCAGGUAGUCCUGGCAGUAAACGGUGCACGUUUGGUGUGGGAGGAUUCGACCCCUUCUGCGCCGGAGCUAAACGCGUUAAACGUGCCGCCUGGGGAGUACGGUCGCAAGAUUAAAACUCAAAGAAAUUGACGGGGGCCCGCACAAGCGGUGGAGUAUGUGGCUUAAUUCGAUGCAACGCGAAGAACCUUACCUGGCCUUGACAUGCAUCUCUAAGUUGGUGAAAGCCAAUGAGUCCCGAAAGGGACAAUUUGCACAGGUGCUGCAUGGCUGUCGUCAGCUCGUGUCGUGAGAUGUUGGGUUAAAGUCCCGCAACGAGCGCAACCCCUGUGAACUGUUGCCACGUCCUUGAUUGGACAGCACUCUGUUCAGACUGCCCUGUGAAACGGGGAGGAAGGUGGGGACGACGUCAAGUCAGUAUGGCCUUACGGCCAAGGCUGCACACGUACUACAAUGCCCAGUACAGAACGAUCCGAGACCGCGAGGUGGAGGAAAUCCAGU
rnacentral:rRNA from 1 species